rnacentral:rRNA from 1 species
GUGUCAGCCGCCGCGGUAAUACGAAGGGGGCUAGCGUUGCUCGGAAUUACUGGGCGUAAAGGGCGCGUAGGCGGCCGAUCAAGUCAGGCGUGAAAUUCCCGGGCUCAACCUGGGGGCUGCGCUUGAGACUGGUUGGCUAGAGGCCGAGAGAGGGUGGUGGAAUUCCCAGUGUAGAGGUGAAAUUCGUAGAUAUUGGGAAGAACACCGGUGGCGAAGGCGGCCACCUGGCUCGGUACUGACGCUGAGGCGCGACAGCGUGGGGAGCAAACAGGAUUAGAUACCCCCGUAGUCC